rnacentral:rRNA from 1 species
CCCUUAGAUGUUCUGGGCUGCACGCGCGCUACACUGAAGCUAUCAACACGUUUUCCCUCCCUGAGAAGGGCGGGUAACCUUUUGAAUCAGCUUCGUGGUAGGGAUCGGGGCUUGCAAUUGUUCCCCGUGAACCAGGAAUUCCUAGUAGACGCGAGUCAUAAGCUCGCAUCGAGUAAGUCCCUGCCCUUUGUACACACCGCCCGUCGCUACUACCGAUUGAACGUUUUAGUGAGGCAUUUGGACCGACGCAUCUCAGUUUAACCGCUGGUUUGUGUUGGAAAGACUUCCAAACUUGAGCGUUUAGAGGAAGUAAAAGUCGUAACA